UAAUUAUAUUAUUAUUAUAAAUCUUAACAUCAAGUUGUUUUGAAACAAUCCAUUUGAAAAGGCAGCUUUAGUUUUUUGGUUGUUCCGUUGGAGGAAAAAUACACAAUGCAUCCUGGGUACAUUCUAUUUGAGUUUUGCAGCAAAAUACAAUUAUUUUUCCAUUUUCCGCAUGUUGUCAGGUCACGUUUGAUGACGAUGACGGAGCCGUUGGAUUUGUCAACAUAAUAAAUGUGCACUGGAAGUUUGUGACAGUAUUUCAAAAUGCGCCGGAACCGACUAGGAAAGGAGGACUGGGUUCAAGUGGCAGCCGGGCCAGAUGAGCCUCAGCAGUUGUGGGAUCUUUGUCAUGCAGAUGGCCAAGAUGACGCUGAUGGAACUUCCAAAGAUUCCGCAGCAUUUUCGCAUCAACUCAUCUAAACAAUCGAUUGAAAAGCGAAGAAGAGACGAGGCUGAAGACAUUCUGAAACAAUCAGUUUCAAAGGAUGAGCUCUGUUCCUUCUGUGGAAUUGAGGACCUGCCCAAAACUGCUGUUGAUGCUGUUUGGAUUCAGGAGCUUGCUCAAGAUGGUUUCACACGCAGUGCCUUGGGAUGACAGCAGCACAGAUACCAAACAACAUUGGUAUUGUGUGUUGUGUAACACGUAGGAAUGUGUAUGUCUGACUUUGUCGGAUAAACUUGUUGACUUCAAGUAUUUUGGUAUCUGAUCGUUCAUAAAGAUUAAAAGUGGGAACAACUUGA